UAAGGGCGCACGGUGGAUGCCUUGGCACUAGAAGCCGAUGAAGGACGUUACUAACGACGAUAUGCUUUGGGGAGCUGUAAGUAAGCUUUGAUCCAGAGAUUUCCGAAUGGGGAAACCCAGCAUGAGUUAUGUCAUGUUAUCGAUAUGUGAAUACAUAGCAUAUCAGAAGGCACACCCGGAGAACUGAAACAUCUUAGUACCCGGAGGAAGAGAAAGAAAAUUCGAUUCCCUUAGUAGCGGCGAGCGAAACGGGAAGAGCCCAAACCAACAAGCUUGCUUGUUGGGGUUGUAGGACACUCUAUACGGAGUUACAAAGGACGACAUUAGACGAAUCAUCUGGAAAGAUGAAUCAAAGAAGGUAAUAAUCCUGUAGUCGAAAAUGUUGUCUCUCUUGAGUGGAUCCUGAGUACGAC
rnacentral:rRNA from 1 species